rnacentral:rRNA from 1 species
AUAGCGUAUAUUAAAGUUGUUGCAGUUAAAAAGCUCGUAGUUGAAUUUUAGGCCUGGUUGGACGGUCUGCUCUAGGGUUUGUACUGUCCUGACCGGGUCUUACCUUCUGGUGAGCUGUCGUAUUGUUUACUCAGUGCGGCAGGGAACCAGGACUUUUACUUUGAAAAAAUUAGAGUGUUUAAAGCAGGCAUUCGCUUGAAUACAUUAGCAUGGAAUAAUAGAAUAGGACUUUGGUUCUAUUUUGUUGGUUUCUAGGACCGAAGUAAUGAUUAAUAGGGAUAGUUGGGGGCAUUAGUAUUUAAUUGUCAGAGGUGAAAUUCUUGGAUUAAUUGAAGACUAACUACUG